rnacentral:rRNA from 1 species
GAUGAAUGCUGGCGGCGUGCCUAAUACAUGCAAGUCGAGCGGACAGACGAGGAGCUUGCUCCUCUGACGUUAGCGGCGGACGGGUGAGUAACACGUGGAUAACCUACCUAUAAGACUGGGAUAACUUCGGGAAACCGGAGCUAAUACCGGAUAAUAUAUUGAACCGCAUGGUUCAAUAGUGAAAGACGGUUUUGCUGUCACUUAUAGAUGGAUCCGCGCCGCAUUAGCUAGUUGGUAAGGUAACGGCUUACCAAGGCAACGAUGCGUAGCCGACCUGAGAGGGUGAUCGGCCACACUGGAACUGAGACACGGUCCAGACUCCUACGGGAGGCAGCAGUAGGGAAUCUUCCGCAAUGGGCGAAAGCCUGACGGAGCAACGCCGCGUGAGUGAUGAAGGUCUUCGGAUCGUAAAACUCUGUUAUUAGGGAAGAACAAAUGUGUAAGUAACUAUGCACGUCUUGACGGUACCUAAUCAGAAAGCCACGGCUAACUACGUG